UUGGGAUGGGCGCCGUGGGUGCGCGCGUGCUCCUGACGUACGCGCUCGAUUGGAUCUGCAUGAUCGCCGCGAUCCUGCUCGCGAUCCCGGAC
rnacentral:tRNA from 1 species